rnacentral:rRNA from 1 species
UACAGAGGGUGCGAGCGUUAAUCGGAAUUACUGGGCGUAAAGCGUGCGUAGACGGUUAUGUAAGUCGGAUGUGAAAGCCCCGGGCUCAACCUGGGAAUUGCAUUCGAGACUGCAUAGCUAGGAUGCGGAAGAGGAAAGCGGAAUUCCACGUGUAGCGGUGAAAUGCGUAGAGAUGUGGAGGAACACCAGUGGCGAAGGCGGCUUUCUGGUCUGUAACUAACGCUGAGGCGCGAAAGCGUGGGGAGCAAACAGG